GACGAACGCUGGCGGCGUGCUUAACACAUGCAAGUCGAACGAAGUGGCGAACGGGUGAGUAACGCGUAAUCAACCUGCCCUUCAGAGGGGGACAACAGUUGGAAACGACUGCUAAUACCGCAUACUGAAGGAGGGGCUUGCGUGUGAUUAGCUAGUUGGAGGGGUAACGGCCCACCAAGGCGAUGAUCAGUAGGCGGUCUGAGAGGAUGAACGGGCACAAUGGGACUGAGAAACGGCCCAGACUCCUAAGGGAGGCAGCAGGGGGGAAACUUCCGCAAUGGACGAAAGUCUGACGGAGCAACGCCGCGUGAGUGAAGAAGGGUUUCGGAUCGUAAAGCUCUGUUGUUAAGGAAGCGGUACUUAACCAGAAAGGGACGGCUAACUACGUGCCAGCAGCCGCGGUAAUAC
rnacentral:rRNA from 1 species